AUGGAUAGACGUUGGAUUCAUCGUACAUUGUUUUCCCGUGAGUACAUCGAAGGUGUCAAAGAAUUUAUGAACUUCAUUCAAGAUAAAUUCAGCAAGGAUGAGAAAAUACUCUGCCCAUGUAGAAAUUGCCUUAAUCAAAAACACCAGCAUCAGACCGUUGUGAACACACACAUAUUGACGUAUGGCAUGGAAAGUACAUACACUUGCUGGAUAUAUCAUGGAGAAGACUUUGAUGUUGAUGUGAUUGAAGAACCUGUUCAUGUGCAUGACACCGCCGAUGGUAACAAUGGUGCUGAUCGAUUUGAGGAGAUGUUUGGAGACCUACGCACAGCAGUAGAACAAGCUGGAAUUGAAACUGAAAAUCCUUCUGAGCAUGAGUCGUUUUUGAAGAACGUGAUGAAAGAGGCAAAGCAGCAACUUUAUCAUGGUUGUACCAAGUUUUCAAGGUUCUCCUUUGUGGUAAAGCUUCUUCAUUUGAAGUCAUACCAUAGGAUCACAAAUAGUGCAUUUACUGAUAUAUUGAAGAUAUUGGCUGAAGCAUUCCCUGAACCUAAUACACUCACAAAAUCAUACGAGGAAGCGAAGAACCUUCUGAAGGAAUUAGGCCUUGGGUAUGUUUCUAUACAUGUGUGCUUUAAUAAUUGCAUUUUGUUCAGGAAGCAAUAUGCCAAUCAUGACAACUGCCCAGUUUGUGGCCUGUCAAGGUGGAAAGACCCUGCUAGAAAGAAGAUUCCACAGAAAGUGUUGAGGCAUUUUCCAUUGGUGCCUAGGCUGAGGAGGAUGUUUCUUUCCAAAAAAGGAGCAGAAGAAGCACAAUGGCACAAGCUAAAGAGGCAGCCCAGUGAGAAGGAAUUGAGUCAUCCGGUUGACGGUGAUGCAUGGAAAGAUUUUGAUAAACAAUAUCCAGAUUUUGCAAAAGAUGCCAGAAACAUUAGACUUAGCAUUGCCAUUGAUGGGUUCAAUCCUUUUGGAAACUUUAACACAACCUACAGUAUGUGGCCUGUGUUUGUUAUACCAUACAACCUUCCACCUUGGGCAUGCAUGGACCAGUCAAAUUUCAUGAUGGCUUUGCUAAUUCCAGGUCCUAAAUCACCUGGCAAGCACUUUGAUGCCUUUCUACAACCACUUGUAGAAGAAUUACUUGAGCUCUGGGAGGGUGUGAGUACAUAUGAUGCUCUUAGUGAAAAAAUGUUUGAUCUUCAUGCUGCAGUUCUAUGGUGCAUUCAUGAUUACCCAGCUCUGAGCACUCUUUCAGGGCGUACCACAAGAGGCUAUUUUGCAUGUAUUCAUUGUGACAAACACCCUAUUUCUUACGGCCUAAGGAAAAAAUGGGGUAUAUUGGUCACUAUCGUUUCCUUCCAAAGGGACAUCGUUUGCGGAGAAAUAAUGAAUUUGUUGGUCUUCAUGAAAGCAAUGAUCGGCCAGGUAAAUUCUCUGAGAAAGAGCUGCAAGCAGAAUUGGAGAAGGUUAGACCUGGGAGGCAACAAGAAAGUAAGAAAAGGAAACGUUCUGACUUGGGCAGCAAGAAGGCUCAUGUGCCAAUUUGGAGCCGCAGGGUUUGUUUGUGGGAUUUGGAAUAUUGGGGGAAAUUGA
rnacentral:rRNA from 1 species